rnacentral:rRNA from 1 species
AUGUUUCUGUCGGGCCUGCGUCCUCGUCGCUGCCCACGGACUUUCGAAGGUGUUGCCUAUAUUGAUCUCGUCUCGCACACGCGCCAUCGUUCGGUGCUUGGUGCAUGCCCGUCUGCAACGUUGUCCUUUCUAGAGUCUUCAACAGGCUGUGCUGGUCGCUAUACGUCGACUCUACUUAUGAUUUUCGUGCGCGGCGGUGGCCGCUCUAUGUCGACUUUUCCCACGACUUCCGCACCUGGUGAUUGUCGACCUACGUCGAAUCCUCUCGCGGCUUUCGCGUUUGGCGUUGACCGCUCUACGUCGACUUCCUCAGUGGCUUUCACAUGCGGCUCUACAUCGACUCGCUACUCCCGGUCGACUCUGCAUGCAGCUUCCACGGAUGGAGGCGACUGCUCAUCGUCGUCAGGUGUUUCUACCUCGACCUCUUCGGCCGUGUCCCUGUCUGUGCAUGAGAUUGCACAGCUGAAAUGCAUGCUUGAUGCUUGGGAUUCUUCACCGACGGUUUCUGCAGGUUCUAUGGCUGACUCUUCCGGCACUGAGAAACCACCUUCUACUCAUUCAGGUACAUCCUCAUGGAUUCUUGAUAUUGGAGCGUCUUUUCAUAUGACUUAUGAUCCUUCCAUUUUGACCUCCGUUCAACCUGUCGAGUCUCCAGUUCGUGUUCUUACAGUCGAUGGCACUCCCCUCCCUGUAGCUAGUUGA